rnacentral:rRNA from 1 species
UACGUAGGGGGCAAGCGUUGGUCCGGAUUUAUUGGGCGUAAAGAGCGUGUAGGCGGCCAGGUAGGUCUGCUGUGAAAACUCGAGGCUCAACCUCGAGACGUCGGCGGAAACCAUCUGGCUAGAGUCCGGAAGAGGAGAGUGGAAUUCCUGGUGUAGCGGUGAAAUGCGCAGAUAUCAGGAAGAACACCCGUGGCGAAGGCGGCUCUCUGGGACGGUACUGACGCUGAGACGCGAAAGCGUGGGGAGCGAACAGG